UUCAGGCUCACAUCAGAACAGAGCUCAUGUUUGCUGAAAGCACGCUGAGUUCACUUCACUAAAUGGCAGGAACUGAAUUAAGAGAAACAGUUGAAGCUGGAAGUCCAAAAGUGAACAUAGGAUUUUCCAGGGUGAAAAAGGCUCUAAAGAGACAAAUACAAGCAGGCCACCCGCCCGGUCGUUUUGGACAAGUGCCAUUUAGCAAAGCCUAAGGAAGGCUGCAGACCAGAACUGUUCUUCAGACCAGAUAGAAAUCUAUUAAAACUGCUGGAUUUUUUUAACUGCUUUUAUGG